UACGUAGGGGGCAAGCGUUGUCCGGAUUUAUUGGGCGUAAAGAGCGUGUAGGCGGCCUGACAAGUCUGCUGUGAAAACUCGAGGCUCAACCUCGAGAUGUCGGCGGAAACUGUCUGGCUAGAGUCCGGAAGAGGAGAGUGGAAUUCCUGGUGUAGCGGUGAAAUGCGCAGAUAUCUGGAGGAACACCGGUGGCGAAGGCGGCAUCCUGGACCGGCAUUGACGCUGAGGCGCGAAAGCCAGGGGAGCAAACGGG
rnacentral:rRNA from 1 species